UGCUUCGGCUGCUCGUCUCUCGCGUACAGCAAAGUAACAUGCGCCCAUUUUAAUCUGAUUAAUGCUUUUGAGAUUUCCUUCUAAUUGACUUGCAAGUCGCAGGGGUGCGUAUGUCUCACUUACACCUUUUCCCCUUCGUGCUUCAUGCGCAACGGAGUGUUUACAGCCGUUUUGCUUAUAUUGUAGUCAAUUGUUUAAACGUUAAAAAGUGAGUACUGCACUUCGCAUCGGACCUUUCCAAAAAGUCUUCAUGCAAACCUGAAAGAUGAAAUACGAAUGACAAGAAAAAUAAAGCGCAACCUUUUGGAAUUUACUCCAAGACAUCCGUGUGCAGUUAUUUUUCCAUUGUAUUUUGUUCUUGCCCCCAGAGCUAAUCUAAAAAGCACGCAGAGUCAUGAUAGGUCACAACAGAGAUCAAUUUUCCAAUGAUGGAUUUCAGUGGCAGUUUGAACAGCAAAGGAUUCAUUUGUUACAAUGAUUUUUCUGAAGACUGCCAGAUCUCCUAUAUCCUCUUUAGGCCAGUGGCUUUCCUCAUAAGACACAGUGGUAACAUGAAUAAACGUUAUUAAGCGCAACAUUUUAAUCUGAUGGUUCAAUUUAUUUUUUCAUUGUUAAAGGUAACACUUUUUGACCAGGACAAAAUACAGGCCUGAAACUUUUGCUUGAAUGUAGAACGCAUUUCCAAAAGAGAAGUUCUUCACAGUGAACCUAAGACUGGAGUGAAGGGACACAGCUGUGAUGGCAGAUCAGCUGUGUGCUGUAUCAGGUGUGUGCAGGUCUGGGAGCAGCAAGGAAGAUAGUGAGUAAAACGGCGGAGGAAAAGGAAUGCUCGCUCAGUGAUGUCACGACCAAAACCAUGACGGGAGGAAUAUGGUUUGUGGGGUUCAGGGAGAUUCUGCAUCAUGUGAGAAGAGGUCUCUGAGUCAGGUAGGAGAGAAUGGUGCACUGCUGUAAACCUACACCGGACCAACAAAUGAACAACUGUCUGAAGUGGACUUGUUGGCUCCAUCUCCUCCCCCACUCUACCCCUGAAGGAUUAGUACACAUGCACAAUACGGAUCAUAAAGCUUAGUGUGCCUCAGACUGAGGUCUGGUGCUCACAAUCACUUGUGGCAUGAAAUGUUUAAGACUGGGGCAGUGUAUGACAUGUCAUCUGACUUAAUGUUGUCAUGCAGAUGUUUAAAAACUGCUUUUUCCCUGAAUAAUGCACAAAAUGAAAAUGGACAGAAAUGUUCAUUUAUAAAUCACACAUCAAAAAAAUGGCAAAAUAUGCUGACUGAUUCUGAACACUACUGUAUAAUUACUCUGUCAUUAGCAGCAAUCAAAUAAAAGUGAGCAAUGCAUUUA